GCAAGUCGAGCGGACCGACGGGAGCUUGCUCCCUUAGGUCAGCGGCGGACGGGUGAGUAACACGUGGGUAACCUGCCUGUAAGACUGGGAUAACUCCGGGAAACCGGGGCUAAUACCGGAUGCUUGAUUGAACCGCAUGGUUCAAUCAUAAAAGGCGGCUUCGGCUGCCGUUUACAGAUGGACCCGCGGCGCAUUAGCUAGUUGGUGAGGUAACGGCUCACCAAGGCGACGAUGCGUAGCCGACCUGAGAGGGUGAUCGGCCACACUGGGACUGAGACACGGCCCAGACUCCUACGGGAGGCAGCAGUAGGGAAUCUUCCGCAAUGGACGAGAGUCUGACGGAGCAACGCCGCGUGAGUGAUGAAGGUUUUCGGAUCGUAAAGCUCUGUUGUUAGGGAAGAACAAGUACCGUUCGAAUAGGGCGGUACCUUGACGGUACCUAACCAGAAAGCCACGGCUAACUACGUGCCAGCAGCCGCGGUAA
rnacentral:rRNA from 1 species